UACGAAGGGGGGCUAGCGUUGCUCGGAAUCACUGGGCGUAAAGGGUGCGUAGGCGGGUCUUUUAAGUCAGGGGUGAAAUCCUGGAGCUCAACUCCAGAACUGCCUUUGAUACUGGAGAGCUUGAGUCCGGAAGAGGUGAGUGGAAUUCCCAGUGUAGCGGUGAAAUGCGUAGAUAUUGGGAGGAACACCAGUGGCGAAGGCGGCUCACUGGACCGGAACUGACGCUGAGGCGCGAAAAGCGUGGGGGAGCAAACAGG
rnacentral:rRNA from 1 species